rnacentral:rRNA from 1 species
ACGAACGCUGGCGGCGUGCUUAACACAUGCAAGUCGAGCGGUAAGGCCCUUUCGGGGGUACGACGAGCGGCGAACGGGUGAGUAACACGUGGGUGACCUGCCCUUACGCUCUGGGAUAAGCCUGGGAAACGUGGGUCUAAUACCGGAUAUGACUCCAUAACGCAUGUUGUGGGGUGGAAAGCCUUGUGCGGCUAGGGAUGGGCCCGCGGCCUAUCAGCUUGUUGGUGGGGUGAUGGCCUACCAAGGCGACGACGGGUAGCCGGCCUGAGAGGGCGACCGGCCACACUGGGACUGAGACACGGCCCAGACUCCUACGGGAGGCAGCAGUGGGGAAUCUUGCGCAAUGGGCGAAAGCCUGACGCAGCGACGCCGCGUGGGGAUGACGGCCU